rnacentral:rRNA from 1 species
UGGGGAAUAUUGGACAAUGGGCGCAAGCCUGAUCCAGCCAUGCCGCGUGAGUGAUGAAGGCCUUAGGGUUGUAAAGCUCUUUCGCCGACGAAGAUAAUGACGGUAGUCGGAGAAGAAGCCCCGGCUAACUUCGUGCCAGCAGCCGCGGUAAUACGAAGGGGGCUAGCGUUGUUCGGAAUCACUGGGCGUAAAGCGCACGUAGGCGGAUUGUUAAGUCAGGGGUGAAAGCCUGGAGCUCAACUCCAGAACUGCCCUUGAUACUGGCAAUCUCGAGUCCGGAAGAGGUAAGUGGAACUGCGAGUGUAGAGGUGAAAUUCGUAGAUAUUCGCAAGAACACCAGUGGCGAAGGCGGCUUACUGGUCCGGUACUGACGCUGAGGUGCGAAAAGCGUGGGGAGCAAAACAGGAUUAGAUACCCUGGUAGUCCACGCCGUAAAACGAUGGAGGCUAGCCGUUGGCGAGCAUGCUCGUCAGUGGCGCAGCUAACGCAUUAAGCCUCCCGCCUGGGGAGUACGGUCGCAAGAUUAAAAACUUAAAGGAAUUGACGGGGUCAUAGCUGUUUCC